rnacentral:rRNA from 1 species
AUGAUGAUUGCCGCCUCUCUUCCGCCUCACUUCUGGGUUGAGGCUGUUACCACUUCAACCUAUCUCAUCAACAUUCAGCCUUCUACUGCUCUACAGGGUGGUGUUCCUCUCGAGCGUCUUUCUGGUCAUCCUCCUGAUUAUUCGGCGCUUCGUUUGUUUGGUUGUGUCUGCUAUGUUUUGCUUGCCCCUUGUGAGCGCACCAAACUGACCGCUCAGUCUGUUGAGUGUGUCUUUCUCGGAUACAGUGAUGAGCAUAAGCGCUAUCGGUGUUGGGAUCCCGUCGGUCGUUGGAUGCGUAUUUCCGAGAUGUGA